ensembl:lncRNA
GAUUGGAUUCCACAGGAAAAUGUGCUUGACGGUCAGAAGCCCUUGCUACUUUAUCCUAACUGUGGUGACGAUCUGGAAAGGAGUCUUGGUCACUGACCCAACAGCCAACGGAGAGACACCCUGCCAUAUGGUUAGACUCUGUGCAUCACGGACUGAAGUCAGAAAAAGCUUGCCAAGCCCUGAUGCAGAAGAUUGUUGAGUAAAAAACAUCAUUCCCAGCACCGCCAAGCAUGCGCUAAUCUCUUCUCUGCGUCUUCCAAAUUGUGGCUCCAGAUGUUGUCCCUGAUUCAUGGGGUGUUCACGAAAGCUGGCAAGGCCACCGACAAAUGUGUUACACACACAGCCCUCUUCGGAUCCUGCGUUCGCCUCUCUCUCUGCGGCCGCAGGGCUCGAAGUCAAGAACCGCGAGAUCAUGACCUGACUCACGGUCAGGUGCUUAACGGAGCGAGCCACCCAGGCACCCCAAGGAGUGCUUUCAACUACACCAUAGUAAUAAGGUCAAUAUUGGGGAAAACAAAGAAAAUCACAGUGUAUUCCCUUUGCUUUCACAAACCUUAUUCUGGGGCCAAAAGGCGAAAGAACCUGACACUCGUGAUUGCAUCUGGCACAAUUUUCUGCAAAGUUCUGGAAUGUUCCUCCUCUGCUCUCGCAAGGGCGAAAACACAGAUCUUACAACGCUGCCGACUUUCGAAGGAACACGAAAGCCAAGACUUGGCUUCUCCUGCCAUUCCGUGGAGGUGACGAUAGGGAAGAAUCCAUAAACUUCAACAGUAACAUAAACGAGCUGGGCCAAGUAAAUGAACCCAUCAGAAGGAUGCUCCAGUGUCACACAGUGCACAUUCUGGAAAACUCUGGGCCAGUAGAGUUACCAUCAUCCUCAGACACAGGUCUGAGAGAUGCCAGGUCUAUGCUAUAGCCGCGUGGCUUGGAAAUCGGUGCAGGUACCUUUGGGUUUUAUGUUUCCUCACAGAGUCUGUGGGGAGCCAUGUAGGGUACCAUGUACGCCUCCCUCCUUCCUCCUAGAUGACCAUCUUCCACGAUGGGUCUGGGCACAAGGCUGUGCACUGAAACACCUCCUCAACCUCUUUUGCUUCCAGACACGGCCCCGACACUCAUUUCUGGCCAGUUACAUGUAGGAGACAUGCUGGAGUUCAAAUUCAGGUCCUUCCCAAAGCAACGUACUUACCUUCUAACUCUCCCUCUCUGGCCCAUGGCAUCACUUUCAACCAGGAAAGAGGACAGCCCGUUCCCACAUCCCUUUACAACAGUGUUAUGGACUAAAUUAUGGUCUCCUGGUGGGGGAAAAAAGAUACUUUAAAGACCUAUUUUUAGGGGCACCUGGGGGGAAUCAGUCGGUUAAGCGUCCAACUUCAGCUCAAGUCACGAUCUCAUGGUUCGUGGGUUCGGGGCCUGUGUCGGGCUCUGUGCUGAUGCCUCAGAGCCCGGAGCCUGCUCUGGAUUCUGUGUCUCCCCCUCUCUCUGCUCCUCCCUUGCUCGUAUCCUGCCUCCUUCUGUCUCACAAAUAAAUAAACAAAUAAACGACCUAUUUUUAAAGAU